GAUGAACGCUGGCGGUAUGCUUAACACAUGCAAGUCGAACGAAAUGCGAUGGGGUUUACUCUAUCGUAUGGCAGUGGCGGACGGGUGCGUAACGCGUAAGAACUUACCUUUUGGCGAGGGACAACCGCGGGAAACUGCGGCUAAUACCUCAUAGAGCUGAGGAGCGAAAGGUGAAAACCACCAAAAGAGAGGCUUGCGUCUGAUUAGCUAGUUGGUGAGGGUAAKGGCCUCCCAAGGCRACRAUCAGUAGCUGGUCUGAGAGGAUGAUCASCCACUCUGGAWSUGAGACGCGGACCAGACUCCUACGGGAGGCAGCAGUGARRNAUUUUC
rnacentral:rRNA from 1 species